UACGGAGGGGACUAGCGUUGUUCGGAAUUACUGGGCGUAAAGCGCACGUAGGCGGAUUUGUAAGUCAGGGGUGAAAUCCCGGGGCUCAACCCCGGAACUGCCUUUGAUACUGCGAAUCUCGAGUCCGGAAGAGGUGAGUGGAAUUCCUAGUGUAGAGGCGAAAUUCGUAGAUAUUAGGAAGAACACCAGUGGCGAAGGCGGCUCACUGGUCCGGUACUGACGCUGAGGUGCGAAAGCGUGGGGAGCAAACAGG
rnacentral:rRNA from 1 species